rnacentral:rRNA from 1 species
GAGUCUUAAUUGGGCGUUAAGUUGCAGGGUAUAGACCCGAAACCCGGUGAUCUAGCCAUGGGCAGGUUGAAGGUUGGGUAACACUAACUGGAGGACCGAACCGACUAAUGUUGAAAAAUUAGCGGAUGACCUGUGGCUGGGGGUGAAAGGCCAAUCAAACCGGGAGAUAGCUGGUUCUCCCCGAAAGCUAUUUAGGUAGCGCCUCGUGAAUUCAUCUCCGGGGGUAGAGCACUGUUUCGGCUAGGGGGCCAUCCCGGCUUACCAACCCGAUGCAAACUGCGAAUACCGGAGAAUGUUAUCACGGGAGACACACGGCGGGUGCUAACGUCCGUCGUGAAGAGGGAAACAACCCAGACCGCCAGCUAAGGUCCCAAAGUCAUGGUUAAGUGGGAAACGAUGUGGGAAGGCCCAGACAGCCAGGAUGUUGGCUUAGAAGCAGCCAUCAUUUAAAGAAAGCGUAAUAGCUCACUGGUCGAGUCGGCCUGCGCGGAAGAUGUAACGGGGCUAAACCAUGCACCGAAGCUGCGGCAGCGAACGUAUCACUUAAAGCGAUUCAGCGGGUUACGAUUGACGGAGCGAAGCGACGUCAAAGCGUAUACAAAGUCGAGUCGGUUUAAGGAUACGUUCGUUGGGUAGGGGAGCGUUCUGUAAGCCUGCGAAGGUGGCCUGUGAGGGUUGCUGGAGGUAUCAGAAGUGCGAAUGCUGACAUAAGUAACGAUAAAGCGGGUGAAAAGCCCGCUCGCCGGAAGACCAAGGGUUCCUGUCCAACGUUAAUCGGGGCAGGGUGAGUCGACCCCUAAGGCGAGGCCGAAAGGCGUAGUCGAUGGGAAACGGGUUAAUAUUCCCGUACUUGGUGUUACUGCGAAGGGGGGACGGAGAAGGCUAUGUUGGCCGGGCGACGGUUGUCCCGGUUUAAGCGUGUAGGUGUGUGUUCCAGGUAAAUCCGGUUCACUUUAACACUGAGGCGUGAUGACGAGGCACUACGGUGCUGAAGCAACAAAUGCCCUGCUUCCAGGAAAAGCCUCUAAGCAUCAGGUAACAUCAAAUCGUACCCCAAACCGACACAGGUGGUCAGGUAGAGAAUACCAAGGCGCUUGAGAGAACUCGGGUGAAGGAACUAGGCAAAAUGGUGCCGUAACUUCGGGAGAAGGCACGCUGACACGUAGGUGAAGUGAUUUACUCAUGGAGCUGAAGUCAGUCGAAGAUACCAGCUGGCUGCAACUGUUUAUUAAAAACACAGCACUGUGCAAACACGAAAGUGGACGUAUACGGUGUGACGCCUGCCCGGUGCCGGAAGGUUAAUUGAUGGGGUCAGCGCAAGCGAAGCUCCUGAUCGAAGCCCCGGUAAACGGCGGCCGUAACUAUAACGGUCCUAAGGUAGCGAAAUUCCUUGUCGGGUAAGUUCCGACCUGCACGAAUGGCGUAAUGAUGGCCAGGCUGUCUCCACCCGAGACUCAGUGAAAUUGAACUCGCUGUGAAGAUGCAGUGUACCCGCGGCAAGACGGAAAGACCCCGUGAACCUUUACUAUAGCUUGACACUGAACAUUGAGCCUUGAUGUGUAGGAUAGGUGGGAGGCUUUGAAGUGUGGACGCCAGUCUGCAUGGAGCCGACCUUGAAAUACCACCCUUUAAUGUUUGAUGUUCUAACGUGGACCCGUAAUCCGGGUUGCGGACAGUGUCUGGUGGGUAGUUUGACUGGGGCGGUCUCCUCCUAAAGAGUAACGGAGGAGCACGAAGGUUGGCUAAUCCUGGUCGGACAUCAGGAGGUUAGUGCAAUGGCAUAAGCCAGCUUGACUGCGAGCGUGACGGCGCGAGCAGGUGCGAAAGCAGGUCAUAGUGAUCCGGUGGUUCUGAAUGGAAGGGCCAUCGCUCAACGGAUAAAAGGUACUCCGGGGAUAACAGGCUGAUACCGCCCAAGAGUUCAUAUCGACGGCGGUGUUUGGCACCUCGAUGUCGGCUCAUCACAUCCUGGGGCUGAAGUAGGUCCCAAGGGUAUGGCUGUUCGCCAUUUAAAGUGGUACGCGAGCUGGGUUUAGAACGUCGUGAGACAGUUCGGUCCCUAUCUGCCGUGGGCGCUGGAGAACUGAGGGGGGCUGCUCCUAGUACGAGAGGACCGGAGUGGACGCAUCACUGGUGUUCGGGUUGUCAUGCCAAUGGCACUGCCCGGUAGCUAAAUGCGGAAGAGAUAAGUGCUGAAAGCAUCUAAGCACGAAACUUGCCCCGAGAUGAGUUCUCCCUGAGACUUAGAGUCUCCUGAAGGAACGUUGAAGACGACGACGUUGAUAGGCCGGGUGUGUAAGCGCAGCGAUGCGUU